rnacentral:rRNA from 1 species
UACGUAGGGUGCAAGCGUUGUCCGGAAUUAUUGGGCGUAAAGAGCUCGUAGGCGGUUUGUCGCGUCGAAUGUGAAAACCCGGGGCUCAACCCCGGGCCUGCAUUCGAUACGGGCAGACUAGAGUUCGGUAGGGGAGUCUGGAAUUCCUGGUGUAGCGGUGAAAUGCGCAGAUAUCGGGAGGAACACCAAUGGCGAAGGCAGCUCGCUGGGACGGUACUGACGCUGAGACGCGAAAGCGUGGGGAGCAAACAGGAUAGAUACCCCAGAGUCCGAGAAC